UUCGUGAGCAAUAAAGCACAGCUUUUAGAAAAAGAAUUCUUUAGUGAAAAAAUUAGUGCUUCCAAAAUCGAGCUUGAUGAAGUUCGAUGAGUAGAAAGACCGACACAGUCUAGUGAACCUGCAAUCCAAUUUGAUUAAGUCAAAUCCAAAAUUGAUUAAUGAUGCAUCAUUAAGAAGAUUCGAUAGAGUAUCGCUCCCACCAAAUAGAUACUAGGUUUCUUGAUUCG
rnacentral:lncRNA from 1 species